rnacentral:snRNA from 1 species
AGCCUAUAGUAAUAUGGCAGAAUCAUAGUCAAUGAAGUUAAUCUGAGGUGUGAUUAUUGCUAGUUGAAAACUUUUCCCAAUACCCUGUUGUUGUUUGUUGCUAUUGUUACCCUUUUUCUACUGAGCGACUAGCCAACAUUCGUGGUCUUGUGACU